rnacentral:precursor_RNA from 1 species
AUUAGCAACUAGAUGGAGCUUCAAGAAAUAACUAUUACGGGAGUGCAUUGUAGUUGCAUUGCA